rnacentral:rRNA from 1 species
AAUCGAACCUGGAGAUAGCUGGUUCUCUCCGAAAUAGCUUUAGGGCUAGCCUCAAGUGAUGAUUAUUGGAGGUAGAGCACUGUUUGGACGAGGGGCCCCUCUCGGGUUACCGAAUUCAGACAAACUCCGAAUGCCAAUUAAUUUAACUUGGGAGUCAGAACAUGGGUGAUAAGGUCCGUGUUCGAAAGGGAAACAGCCCAGACCACCAGCUAAGGUCCCAAAAUAUAUGUUAAGUGGAAAAGGAUGUGGCGUUGCCCAGACAACUAGGAUGUUGGCUUAGAAGCAGCCAUCAUUUAAAGAGUGCGUAAUAGCUCACUAGUCGAGUGACACUGCGCCGAAAAUGUACCGGGGCUAAACAUAUUACCGAAGCUGUGGAUUGUCCUUUGGACAAUGGUAGGAGAGCGUUCUAAGGGCGUUGAAGCAUGAUCGUAA